rnacentral:lncRNA from 1 species
GAAAAAUGUUGAAAACUACAACUCUGCUCUAUACAGCUGGGUUCAGUCCAGUCUUUCAGCACUAGAACUUUACUGGAGCCCAUCAGCCAGAAUAAAUUGCUUCCGCAUGUGUGUUCCCCAAGCACAGCGAACAUUCCUAUCCUAUAACCCUAAUCAAAUUGCACUUUGGUUUCCUCCUCGAAUAGUGUCUAUGUAUAUGUGACUCCUUCCUCCUGUGCCUUUCAUCUCUGCUUCUCCUGGUCUAGCGCAGCAACGGGGAGAAAAUGAGCACUCAGUGAGUGAUUAUUGCCUUCGCCUUGAUGAAAUUAAAAACUCAUUUAAGAGCUGAUUUCUCCAAUUUUUGUAUCUACUGGAUUUCUCUCUAUUAUAGCCUAACCUGAGACAAUUUUACUUUUCCUUAGCAUCUACAGCAAUGACAGGCUAAAGAAGAAAAGAACAAGGAGGAGGAGAAGAAGAAGGAGAAGGAGGAGGAGAAGAAAGAAGAGGAGGUGGAGAGGAAGGUGGAGGAGAGGCAGGAGGAGGGGGAGGAGGAGGAAAAGAAGAAGAUGACAGAGGAAUGGAAAAAAGAAUAGCAUAUGCAAAAUUAUUAAUUUGGGUAAGACUUCAAAAAGAAGAUAAACUUAGUACUAUUUAUUUAAUAUAAGUUUUGAUAUUAAAAAUAUAAGAAUUUAUCCAUAGGCCCACAAAGUCCCAAGAGCUGAUAAUUAAUAGCUGGAGGAAUUUGGUUAUAUCCAGAGCAAGGACCCUUUGGGCUAUUAACCAAGGAAGAGAACAUCAGAAGAGAAAGAAAUGAGAACUUUCCACCCCCUCUUCCUGAACUAUCCUUUUGCUAGCACACAAAACCAGGCCAAGAAUUGCCUCCUGAGGCUAGAGAGGGUUUGAUUGUACUUUUUUGGCUGUUUAUGUGGUUUUACUGCUUUAUAUUUUCACAUGCCUUUGUGGAAGGGAAGAGGAAAUAUAGUCCUGAGAGUCUGUUCUCACGAAGAGGAAGCCACAGCAAAUCCUGAUAGAGGCAGAAACCCCUUGGGUCAUAUUUUCCCUUGCUCUGUUGUAGGAGGAAAAUACUUGAGUGACUGGGUUCAUCUUCUCACAUAAAUAAAGAGUUCUUUAUUUGGAAUCAGUGUUGACCAACUAGGGCAUUGGAAAGCACAGUAUAUUCUCACUUAAGGGCUAAUAUAAUCCAGUGGAGUGACAUGAAUUAGUUAGUGGUACACAAUUCUCAGAGAAAGUCACUUUAUGAGUUCUUCUAUUUAUAUUUUUCUAUUAUUAUUAUGAUUAUUACACGAUUGUCUUAUUCUAUAGUGUUACUUUUUAAGGGCCUCUUAUCCUACUCUCUAAGAUUAGACCUAUAAGCCUUGCCAGAACGUAGAGCUUAACAUGGAGACAGGAUACAGGGUACAUGGAGGCUGGCACUGUUGUAGAUCCCAUGACUUUUUGUAAACUAUGAUCAAAAACAGAGAAAUUGACACUGCAAAAUAUGAUCCUACACGUUUAAAUAAUUCACUUGGCCAGGCAUGGCGGCUUACACCUAUAAUCCCAGCACUUUGGGAGGCCUAGGUGGGCAGAUCACUUGAGGUCAGGAGUUCGAGACCAGCCUGGCCAACAUGCUGAAACCCCAUCUCUACUAAAAACACAAAAAAUUAGCUGAGUGUGGUGGUGGAUGCCUGUAAUCCCAGCUGCUUGGGAGGCUGAGGCAGGAGAAUCGCUUGAAUCCAGGAGGUGGAGGUUGCAGUGAGUCAAGAUCUCACCACUGAACUCUAGCCUGGGCAACAGAGCGAGGCUCCAUCUAAUUAAUAAAUAAAUAAAUAAAUAAAUAAAUAAAUAAAUAAAUAGUUUACUUAAAUAAAAUAUAAGAUAACAAAAUUAAGUGGAAAGUAUUUCUAUUCAAGUCUCAAACCCUAAGUUAUCUUAACCUAUUUGGUUAGACAAGAAAAAUAUACUGGUCGAAAUUAAGCCAUUUCUUUGAUAAGAAAAAUAUACUGGUCGAAAUUAAACCGAGAGAACCUUGGGAAUGUAAGUGUGCCACAGCACACCCCUUCUUCCCAUCUCCCACUGCGAUGAGUUACUACCUCCUAAUUCAGGGUGAGUCUUCUUCUUUCCAUCUUGACCAUUACUUUCUUAGUUCCGACUCUGUCACCUAAUUACAUCAGCUCUUGAAAAGCAGAGGAUGUUCUCUGAUUGGUGGUAGAAGUAGAAGUAAGAGAGAUUCAACCAUAAGAAAAAUUUUACAUGCCAUUGCUGAUGUUGAAGAUGGAAGGGCCAUGUGCAAGGACUGGAGCUGGGAGAGGCCCCCAGCUGACAACCAACAAGGAAGACCUCAGUCUUACAACCAUGAGGAACUGAAUUCUGCCAAUAACAGGAAUUGAAAGAAGAGCCCAAGGUCCAGAUGAUAAUGCAGCUAGCCACCACAUUGAUUUCAGCCUAUUGAGACCUUGAGAACCUAGUUAUACCACCUAGACUUCUGACCUCCAGAGCGGUGAGAUAAUAAAUGGGUAUUGUUUUAAGUUGCUAAGUUUGUGGUACUUUAUUAUAACUAAUACACUAGCACAUAGAACUCUGUGCACGGUAGUCAUUCCUCUUUUAGGAACAAGAAAAUUUCAGCUAAUUGAAGAUUUACUAUCUAACCAAAAUAUACAACUACUGGAUAACUAAGAAAAUGCUAGAUGGGCUGGAUGCAGUGGCUCACGCCUGUAAUCUUAGCACUUUUGGAGGCUGAGGCGGGCAGAUUGAC